CUGCGCAGAUUGGCGCACAUCAUACCGUUUUAGGGAACUUAGUACAGAGGUUGGGUCGUAUUGAAAAUGUUUUUAAAAGCUAGAUUUUUAUUCUUUUACUGUAGGAUUAGUUUAAUUGGAUACUUUAGAAAUGUAGGAUAUAAGUAGGAGUCUAAAUGCUGUAAAAUAUCUGAAUUUUAUACCAUCGUGAGCAGCGGGUUCACGCCAAGAUGGCCGAGUCAUCGCCCGGUUGACGAAAACUGCAGACAUCUCCCCAAAUCGUGUAUAAUUUGAGGAGUUUUGAUUUAUUUUGCUUCAAUCAUCACCGCCGCCGCCGUUGUCCCACACAAUGUUCAGCAUCCAAGCAGGGCGUAUGAUUGCAGCUACUCUGUAGUAAUACAUAUUGGCUUAUAAUCAAGUCGAUAAUAAGGCGCGUUAAUAAUCGUCAGGACCAGGCAGCGCUAAAUCAAUUUUUUUGAAAACAAAGAUGAUCUAUUUAGGUCGAGUCGGAGCUUACCGGUCGGUUUAAUGGAAGGAGGAUUUUUAGUUAGGAGUCUGGGUAGGAAUUUUCCGUAUCCAGUAGAGAUUGGAGGCCAUAGAUCGUGAAUAAGUCGGCUAUCGGAACAGAAUAUUGCAGUACGAUAGAUAAAUCCAAAUAUAAACUGUUUGAAAAAAGAAAUACACAUUUAAAUAAACAUGGAACGAUAUUAGAAUAUACUGAAUGUUCACUUUUCCACAAUACAUUAGAAUGUAAUAGUUAACUACAUUUGAACAAUAAAGAUAAUCCAUCAUGAGGUUAAUUUAUUUUGCCUUGUAUCCUGGUUCGGGAAAGUAACAUGUGAGUUUGAAGUCGAUACGUUUUCGAUUUGUUUCGCUGUCUGGUGUUAUGUUAGCGGCAGAAUUACGUGUACCCUGGAUUAAGUAGAUUAUUGUCAAUUUCAUAUACACAGAGGAAUGGUGAUGUUUAUUGCACAAUGUCUGAAACUAGAACAGGUUUAAGCAUUUUUUCGAUACAAUGGAAACUCAUUUAAAUAUCGGGAUAGAUAAUACUAAUAACAAGACUAUUUACAAGAGAGAGAGAUUCCUUAAAAUGCUAGUCAAAAGUAAAAGGAGUAUUAUUUUCCAAUUCCCAAAUAAAGCAUUCAAGUUUGCUAUCUUAAAUAAUCAAUUAUAAAUCCUACGAAGAACGGAAAUAUGAUCAGAUAGAUCAUAAAGAAAUAAUGAAUAAUCUUGUACGGAAAGUUACUAUAAAUUUAUCUCUUAACAUAAAGGAGCCAAUGUUAAAUAAUCACACAAAUUAUCAUAAAAAUCGUAUAUAGAACUCAAUCUUCGAAUGAAAUCUUUACAUGAAACGAAAAUAGAAAAUUUAAUUUAAAUGAAUCUUCAAGAUAAAUCCGCCCCACAGAGCAAUACAACUUACAUUUCAGAUAAAAUGCUCUCAUAAAGCGAAGAUUGAAGACCUUUUAAACUAUUAAUAAUUUCUAAUAAUAUUUAUUGACAUUUAUAUAUUUAUCAUGAAACCCUUCUAUUAUAGCUUCUUUUACAGGUUUAUUUUUAAUUAAAGAUUUUAUACAGAUUUAAAGAAUUAAUAUUAAACGAAAAAUUAUUCGGUUGUUAAAAAACGAAUUCAAGGUUCAAAAUGUUAUAAAACACUAUUUAAUUUAUGGGAUAACCAUUAGAAGCACUAUUGGCAAAACUUUGCGGAUUUACUGCGUCUACGCAAAAGCAAAUUUUAUUUACAUUUAAAAUGUAAAGGAUCUGAGUACAACGGGACAUCUCGCGGGAUUUACAUCACGGAACUAACGAAGGAAUAUAAACAACAAAUAUAUACGACACAUCAUAGAAAAGAGAAAAACGAAACAAUCAAAAGACGACAACAAUACGAAAAAAAAAUAUUAAUACCUAAUUAUUUGGAGAAGAUUGCAUCAUCUUAUUUACUUAAACCUUUUCCUAUAAACUUCUAAUCUAUACAUAUAAUAUAAUAAUAGUUUUCCUAUAUUUUAGCUUUGUAAAGAAACCUUAAAAUU